CAAGAGGAAUGUAACCUCACCAAAAGCAUCAGGACAGAGUUACACCAUCCAUAACAUCAGCUCUGAGGACAGAGAGGGAUACUACUGUGAGGCUCUGAACAUUAUAGGGAGAGAGACUAUCCCUGUCCAUAUUAAUGUUAUAUAUCCUGCAGCAGUGUUUUCCUGGGUUCCUGUGAUGGGGGUGGGGGCUGUCCUGACUGCUGGAGCUCUGCUACUCACCAUCUACUGCUAUAUGAAGAGGAGAUCCACAGGAGGAAGUGAUGCCACAGCAGACACACAGAGUUUCCAUCCUGAUCCUAACAGUGAGACGUACACAGCUCUGAAACAUGAAGACCAGGG